CCUACGGGUUGCACCAGUGGGGAAUAUUGCACAAUGGGCGCAAGCCUGAUGCAGCCAUGCCGCGUGUAUGAAGAAGGCCUUCGGGUUGUAAAGUACUUUCAGCGGGGAGGAAGGUGUUGAGGUUAAUAACCUCAGCAAUUGACGUUACCCGCAGAAGAAGCACCGGCUAACUCCGUGCCAGCAGCCGCGGUAAUACGGAGGGUGCAAGCGUUAAUCGGAAUUACUGGGCGUAAAGCGCACGCAGGCGGUCUGUCAAGUCGGAUGUGAAAUCCCCGGGCUCAACCUGGGAACUGCAUUCGAAACUGGCAGGCUGGAGUCUUGUAGAGGGGGGUAGAAUUCCAGGUGUAGCGGUGAAAUGCGUAGAGAUCUGGAGGAAUACCGGUGGCGAAGGCGGCCCCCUGGACAAAGACUGACGCUCAGGUGCGAAAGCGUGGGGAGCAAACAGGAUUAGAUACCCGAGUAGUC
rnacentral:rRNA from 1 species